AUCGCUUCUCGGCCUUUUGGCUAAGAUCAAAGUGGGUAGUAUCUGUUUCUUAUCAGCUUAUAACUGAUACGAUCCCAGGUGUAUCUACGAAUAUUAAACUGAUUAUUGUAAAUAUGGCGAAGUGCUAGGGGCUUGCUCCCCUUUGCCGCCCGGCCCGGUAUUGCAUGUACCUCCGGGAUUUGGCCACUCCCU